UCCCCUUCCUGAGCUCUAAAGAGGAAAAGAAGUAUAAAAACUACAUGAGGAACUACUUCCCACAAGCUCUCUUUAUUAACUAUGUGUAGGUAUUUGCAUUUUUGGAAAUACACUUUCCCAAGUUCACUUCCCAUUCCCUGGUGCAAAUGGCACACGGUCAUUGUCUACAAGCAUGCUGCUCAGGUGAGCCAUGCUAGAAAGAGGGUCUUGCUCAGCACUGAAUACUGAGGUCUUCUAAAUUGUUUUGAUGCUUCAAUGGCCAGUGCAUGUUAGUUUUGGCAGAACAGACCUAUGGAAAACUGUUCUCAUAUUUGUUGGCUCUGAUACUUUGCAUGUCAGAUGAAACAGCAAUGCAAAACUAAAACUGCUCCAGGCCAAAGAAGGCUGAAUUUUGUUUGGCUUCUGGGAGGCACAGAAUCACGGUAGGAAAGCACUCGGUGGCAGUCUGGAGAUGUGAGUUCUAGACUCCACAUCAUUGGAUUUUUAUUGGUUGCAUACUAUUCAGCAAAUGUACAUACCAAAAUUUAUAGUCAUUCCCCCACAGAUGAGCUUUUCAAGUAGUAAGUUGUUAUACAAGUUUAAUAUUGGUGCCUAAGUAUGUAAAACUUCCAUCAAGGGAAUAAACUGUCACAUUUGGGGACGGGAUAAGAACAAAGAGGAGCUGCAGCCAGGAACUUCGGACCACUAGGCAACUCUUCAGAAUAGAUGCAAAUAAGGAAUCCAGGGAAAGGCCUGGCACUCUGCCUCCAUGGAGACAAGGCAGUCAAGGAAACUGGGCCUCCUGGUAACUAAGUUAGAAUAAAUACUUGUUCCUGGGAGAAGUCUCACCCAUUCCACAGCCACGCAAAAAUGCUCAUCAAGGAAAAUCUGAUUUUCUGCAGCAGCAGCAAAUGGCCUCCAAAGUAGCUUAAGGUUGAACCCUUCCCCAGAAUGUGGAUCCAAUAUAAUAAUUAAUCAGAAGAAACUGAGGGAGGUCCAGCUGAGUAUCUCAAAAAGAUAUGCCUCCUAGGGUGCCAUCCAGGAUACCAGAUUACAUCCAGUCAUCAUGUCUCCUUAGGCUCCUCUUUGACUGUAAUAGCUUCUCAGACUUAUUUUUGAGGAGUAUUGGUCAGGCAUGUUACAGAGAAUCCCUUACUAGGAACUGAAUUAUGCCUACCCAAAAUUCAUAUGUUGAAGUCCUAACCCUCAGUGUGACUGUGUUUGGAGAUAGGGCCUGUGAGGAAUCGAUAAAGGUUAAAUGAAAUCAUAAGGGGGGGGGGGGGUUCUAAUCUGUCUGGGCUGGCACUCUGAUACGAAUAGGAAGAGACACCAAAGCUCUGUCCCCACUAUGUGAAGACACAACAAGAAAGCACCAUCUGCAAGCCAGGAAGAGGGUUCUCCCAGAACUUGACCAAGCUGGUGCCCUGAUCUCAGACUUCCAGCCUCUAGAACUGUGAGAAA